AGCCAAGACCUACAGUCAGCCAGUUCACCAUCUGCGUGAAGAGAGAACUCUGCUGUAUCUGCCGGUUCCUCCGUCCUGAGCCGUGAAAACAGCACAAAACAAAAGAUCGCAGCCCAUUGCCCGGCCGACACUCCCCGCCUCGCUGCGCUUCCAAAAUAAUCGACGCAAGGUCUCUAGCCAUGUUCCCGCCCCUCCCACUCCACCAUUCCCUCCCCUUGCCCCAAUCUAAACAUCCUGCAUCUCCCGUUCCUCCUCCU